rnacentral:misc_RNA from 1 species
AUGAAGUUGGGAAGAUUGCAAGAAAUGUCAAAGCAAAAAUAGAAGCAACUAAUAAAGAGAACUUGGCUAAUCUACAAAAGCCUGGAUGCGGAAAGGGUACAAGUGUUGACAGAUCAAGGACAAAUAUGACCAAUUCCUUGACAAAGAAGUUCAGAGAUGUUAUGACAGAAUUUCAGACAUUAAGGCAGAGGAUAGACAAUGAAUAUCGCGAGGUUGUAGAGCGAAGGGUGAUCACAGUAACUGGAACCAGACCAGAUGAGGAGACAAUCAACAACCUGAUCGAAACUGGAAACAGUGAACAAAUCUUCCAGAACGCUAUCCAAGGAAUGGGACGAGGACAGGUCUUAAGCACCGUAGAGGAAAUUCAGGAAAGACACGAUGCAGUGAAGGAAAUUGAGAGAAAACUUCUUGAUCUGCAUCAGAUAUAUCUUGAUAUGGCUGUUCUGGUUGAAGCUCAAGGAGACUUGUUAGAUAAUAUCGAAACACAGGUGAGAUAUGCAGUGGAUCAUGUUAAUAUGGGUACAGAUGCACUUCAAACUGCAAAGAGCUUGCAGAAAAAAUCAAGAAAAUGUAUGAUGAUCGCCAUUAUUUUGCUUCUGAUUAUCGCCGCGAUUAUCGUUCUAUCUG